rnacentral:lncRNA from 1 species
GGAGCUUAAAUAACUCACUUAACAUAAAACAUGGAGUCAACUAAGGCUUCCAUUUAACUAGGCUAUCAAACACAAAGCCCUCAUUCUUACAAUACUCUUCUAAUGAUAGUUCCAUCUUUAUGAACAUUCCAGGAUCUCUACAUACAGUGUGAAAAAAAUAAGAGAAGAAAUGGAAGCCUAGAGGCAAGAUGACAGAAGAAACUGUAGUGUUAAUCCAGAUAAGACAUUGAAGAGCUAAACCAGGAUUUUGGGAAAAGAGAGGCCUGAGGAGAAGGAGAGAGAUGGAGAACAGCAUGUUGGUGGAGGAGUCAGCAUACAAAGUUUAUAGAUUAAGUUUGUCAUCCUAUAUGGACAGUUUUUGGGACUCCAAAAUAAUUAUAAAAGUAAUAUCAAAGACCACUGGUCACAGAUUACUAUGACAGAUAUAACAAUCAUGAAAAUGUUUGAAAUAUUACAAGUAUUACCAAAAUGUUACACAGAAACAAGCGAGCACAUGCUACUGGGGAAAGGGAACCUCUAGAUUUGCUUGCACCAGGGUUGCCACAAAACUUCAAUUCAUAAAAAGUGCAGUAUCUGCAAAAUGCAAUAAAGCAAAGUGCAGAAAAAUGAAGUAUGCCUGUAUUGGCGUGUAAGUAAUAGGGGGAAAAGAUUACUCCUUGCAUGAUGCCAAGAUUUCUGGCCUGGGAAGCUGGGUAUAUGGUGAUGUCAUUAAUCAAUAUAAUAAACACAGGAGGAACAAUCUCAGAGAGAGAGUGACAAGUUCCUCUUCUCACUUGCUGAGUUUGAGGUGCCUCAGUGGUAUCCAAGAAGAAAGAUAACCUGUGAUCAGCUGAAUAAAUAGUUCUGAAAUACAGAAAAUGCAUCUUGGCUAGAGAUGCAUAAAUUUGGAACUAUCACAAAGGGGACAAAUGCCUAAGGAUCAUUCAAAGAUGAAAAUUAAAGGCUAUCCAGUAAACCAAAAGAUUAUUUCUCCAGAGAUUCUGUAUAUACAA